rnacentral:lncRNA from 1 species
CAUAAAUUGAUAUUUAUAAAAUAAAAAAAAUAAUCUAUUUUUUUAAUAUAUAUUUAUAUAUAUAUAUUUUUUAAAAUCUAUUCAAAUUAAGAACCAUAGAAAGAUAUGGAUCCUAAAAUUAUAAUAGUGCAUCCAUCAAAUAUUUUUUAUUAUAUUUUUUUAUUAAAAAUAUCUUUUUAUUUUGAAUAAGCUACGAAAUAAAUAUGCC